rnacentral:rRNA from 1 species
CAGUCGCCACGGUAAUACAGAGGGUGCGAGCGUUAAUCGGAUUUACUGGGCGUAAAGCGUGCGUAGGCGGCUUCUUAAGUCGGAUGUGAAAUCCCUGAGCUUAACUUAGGAAUUGCAUUCGAUACUGGGAAGCUAGAGUAUGGGAGAGGAUGGUAGAAUUCCAGGUGUAGCGGUGAAAUGCGUAGAGAUCUGGAGGAAUACCGAUGGCGAAGGCAGCCAUCUGGCCUAAUACUGACGCUGAGGUACGAAAGCAUGGGGAGCAAACAGGAUUAGAUACCCGCGUAGUCCCUGUCUCUUAUAC